AAUAGAUACCCCGGUAGUCCACGCCGUAAACGUUGGGCGCUAGAUGUGGGGGGCCAUUCCACGGUUUCCGCGUCGUAGCUAACGCACUAAGCGCCCCGCCUGGGGAGUACGGCCGCAAGGCUAAAACUCAAAGGAAUUGACGGGGGGCCCGCACAAGCGGCGGAGCAUGCGGAUUAAUUCGGAUGCAACGCGAAGAACCUUACCAAGGCUUGACAUAUGCGAGAACGCUCUAGAAAUAGAGAACUCUUUGGACACUCGUAUACAGAUGGUGCAUGGUUGUCGUCAGCUCGUGUCGUGAGAUGUUGGGUUAAGUCCCGCAACGAGCGCAACCCUCGUCGCAUGUUGCCAGCACGUAAUGGUGGGAACUCAUGUGAGACUGCCGGGGUCAACGUCGGAGGAAGGUGGGGAUGACGUCAAAUCAUCAUGCCCCUUAUGUCUUGGGCUUCACGCAUGCUACAAUGGCCGGUACAAGGGCUGCGAAACCGCAAGGUGAGCGAAUCCCGAAAAGCCGGUCUCAGUUCGGAUUGGUAGU
rnacentral:rRNA from 1 species